rnacentral:rRNA from 1 species
AGCUUGCUCUUAUGAAGUUAGCGGCGGACGGGUGAGUAACACGUGGGUAACCUGCCCAUAAGACUGGGAUAACUCCGGGUAAACCGGGGCUAAUACCGGAUAACAUUUUGAACCGCAUGGUUCGAAAUUGAAAGGCGGCUUCGGCUGUCACUUAUGGAUGGACCCGCGUCGCAUUAGCUAGUUGGUGAGGUAACGGCUCACCAAGGCAACGAUGCGUAGCCGACCUGAGAGGGUGAUCGGCCACACUGGGCACUGACACACGGCCCAGACUCCUACGGGAGGCAGCAGUAGGGAAUCUUCCGCAAUGGACGAAAGUCUGACGGAGCAACGCCGCGUGAGUGAUGAAGGCUUUCGGGUCGUAAAACUCUGUUGUUAGGGAAGAACAAGUGCUAGUUGAAUAAGCUGGCACCUUGACGGUACCUAACCAGAAAGCCACGGCUAACUACGUGCCAGCAGCCGCGGUAAUACGUAGGUGGCAAGCGUUAUCCGGAAUUAUUGCGCGUAUAGCGCGCGCACGUGGUUUCUUAUGUCUGAUGUGAAAGCCCACGGCUCAACCGUGG